GGAGAGGUGGCUCAGUGGUUAAGAGCACUGACUGCUCUUCCAGAGGUCCUGAGUUCAAAUCCCAGCACCACCU
rnacentral:tRNA from 1 species